rnacentral:lncRNA from 1 species
AAUAGUCUUUAAAUAUUUUAUCCUAUCUUAGGUUCUUUCUGUGAGGUUUUACCAUCUUCCCUGUUGAUCUGGUCUCUUUUUAUCUUCUCAAUAUAAUUCUCCUCUUGAACUCAUAAGCCAACAGAAGGGAAUGGAGGUAAGUUUUCAAGAUGAAAUAAAGGAUGCUCAGUUAAGACUAAAUUUCAAUUAAAAAACAAAUUUUAGUCCUAGUAUGCUCCAUGCAAUCAAUAUUUUAUUUCAUUUUAUCUAAAAUUUAAAUUUAACUGGUUUCCAGGGUUUUUAUUUAUUAACCUGACAAUGCUAGAUGGAGAAAGAGUACUAGAUGGUAAUAUCAUUCCAAAGUUUUGCUCUUAUGUAAUGGUCCAACUUAUACCACUAAAGAGACAGUCAAAUCAAAGGAGAUUGUUAUACCAUAGUUGUGGGAAAAUGAAAUUACACAGCCUGAGGUUGUAUCCAUGAUUUUCAGUUCCUCAGAGAAUGUAGGUGCUGCUCUUUCCAGUGAACCAUUGGGAGAUGGGAAUAAUGAGGUUGAGUCUGGAGGUAAGUUACUGUUCAAAUGUUAUAGGCAAAGCUGAAAAAAAGUCAAAAGAAAGGACAUUUCUUAUUUUUACAUGGGACUUGAUUUUUAAUCAUCUGCACUUAAUAUGAAACAUAUAUACAUGUAUAUAGAUUAUUUUUAAAAAACUCGAAUCUGUUUACUUAUAGAUUUGUUUAAAAUAAAAUUGAUUAGAUACUUGAAAGGAUCAGUUAACAAGGAUAAUUAUUUUCAAAACCUUUCUCUCACUUCAUCCUCUUACUUUAGCAAAUUUUUUCUGGAAGUACGCCCUUUACUAUGUUUUUGUUACUUGGUAAUAUUACACAUUCAACAUUUACUUUUCUAUUUUAAUAUUUGCUCUGUUAUUAUUUAGUCCUCUCUGGUAUUGUCUUUAUUUGUCUGUGAGUAUUACAUUACAGGAUCUAUUUUGCACACUAAUUUGAUUACUACUAUAGAAAGUGUGCAUAAUUAAGUCAUAGAUCAUAAGCACAUUUUAUGUUUUAUCUGCUGUUUGACCCAACAAAACUGAUUGAAGAAACAGAGAAGACUCAGACUGUAUUCUGUGGUUGUUUCUUCAUUUUUGUAACUGUUGGAUUAUCUUGGGUGUGUUUAACUAGGAGAUAUAGAACUCUUACAUAGCCCUAUGUUUAAAAACUAACUAUUCAGGACAAUGAAAGUUUGAUAGAUUUCAUAGGGAUAUGCAAUCAUAUUAAAAUAGACUCGUGAUUAAAACAAUAAUUUUUGUAACUUAGAUUAUAUUGGGUGUGUUUAACUAGGACAUAUAGAACUCUUACACAGCCCUAUGUUUAAAAACUAACUAUUCAGGACAAUGAAAGUUUGAUAGAUUUCAUAGGGAUAUGCAAUCAUAUUAAAAUAGACUCGUGAUUAAAACAAUAAUGAGAUACCGUUAUACAUAUCGGAAUGGCUAAGAUCCAGAAAAACAAACAUAGUAAAAACAAUGACAGUUGUUCUUGAAGAAGCAGAAAACAAGACAGUUUAUUCAUUGCUUGACACAGCCAAUUUGGAAGACAGUUUGGCAAUGUUUACAAAGCUAAACUGUUUAAUCAUCUAAUCCAGCAAUUGGACUCCUAGGUAUGUACCUACCUGAUUUUAAAGUUUAUAAACACACAAAAUACUCAUGCAAGAAGUUUAUAGAAGGUUAAUAAUAAUCACCCCAAACUGGAAACAACCAAGAUGCCGUUCAAUAAGUUAAUGGAAAACUGUAGAAAUUCCAUAUAAUGCCAUACUACUUAGUGAACAAAAACAAAUGGACUAUCAAGUCACACAAAUAUAUGGAUGAAUACGAUAUACAUUGCUAAGUUAAAGAAGCUAGUCUGAAUAGGUUACACCUGUAUGAUUUUAUUUAUAUGACCUUUUGGAAAGGGAAAAACUGUAGGGAGUGUACAGGUCAGUGAUUGCCAGGAGUUGGGGUCAGAAGCUAACUAAAUGAGUGAAGGAAGCAUAAGGCAUUUUUUAGCACAGCAAAACUAUUCUGUAAGACAUGGUGGUAGUAGAUAAAUAAAUUUAUGCAUUUAUCAAAACAAAUAGAACUUUAUAGCACAAAGUAAACUUAAUGUACAUAACUUAAAAAAAAUAAUUUAGGAGGUUAGAGAAUCCCAGGAUGGAUGCAGAAUGUGAUAAAGAAUCUAACUGUGUUACAAAUGUAUGAAGCAACCUCCACCUUAGGGAAGUGGUAGAGAGGGGGAAGGUACUGACCUAAGUAACUUCAGAAAUGAAUCUGUAAGACUAAAGGCAAAAAGUCCUGUACUUUAGUACUGUACUCUAGUUAACAGUAUUAUUUCCCUGUGUUAAUAACUCUAAAUCCCCUAUACAUGGGAUUGAACAGGUAAGUCAGUUAUUGGUGGGUGGUGGGAACCAAUUGUCUCACUCUUGGACUGGGCAGUUACAGAUAAGAAAAAGAAGAAGGCUAGAAUAAUCCAUGUAGAAAUUGAUUCAAAUUGGAGACUUCAGUAUGAGCUCAUGGUUAGGUUAAUAUGGAUAUGGACAAGUUCACGUAAAAUGUAUCAUAUAUACACUCACACACACAUAUAUAUAUGGCUAAGUGUAUACACAUAUAUUUCCUUUCUCUGUCAUCUGAGAAAACCUACAAGCAAUAUACUCCAGUAGAAACCAGCACACAAAGUGCCACGAUUUUGGUUUCUAAUACUGUCCUCCAAUUGAAGGAAUCAGGGCUAUUUGGACAAAUUUCAUGGGGGCAGGAAAUAUACUUGAUCAACCUAGAAUAUCUUGUGUCAGAAAGUAAGUAAGUGCUAGAACAAACAAACCAAUAAACAAAAAACAAACAUAAGGAGGAGGGAAUGUCAAAGGAAUGUUAAAAACCAACUGAAAGAGUUCCCAGUGGCCCAAGGUGGAAAAAUUGGGGCAAGAAAGUAAGUAUUGAGUUACAACUCAAAGAAUAAAUAAGUCCAUAUUGAUAUAAAUAAAUAAAUAAGCAAAAGAGAAUAAAUAGGCAAAAGAAUAGACAAAUUUCCCAUGUAGAUGAAUUUCAAAUAAUUUAUGUAAAUGCUUUGUUCUCAAGGAAUUAGAGUGUAACUCUCCUUUUACUUAAGUGUAGACUGCACACAUAGUGAUUAGUUUUCAGGAAGUACAGGAUGGAAAAGGGGGAUUUAAAAAGUAGCUAAAAAUCCCACUGAGGAGCAUUUGAUGAACCUUCUGGCUAGUUAUUCUCAACAUUUUGAAGGUCUUCAAAAACUAGGAUUAUUGGAGAAACUGUCACAGAAAGAGGAGACUAAGGAUACAUAAAUAAAUGCAAUACAUUUUCCUGGAUAGGAUUCUUCAAAAGAAAAAAAAAAAACACACAUUAUCUGAAAACUAAGGCAAUCUGAAUAAAGUAUGUACUUAAGUAAAAAUAAAAUGUCGAUAUUGGUCCAUUAUUUGUGACAAAUGUACCAUACUAAUAGAAAAUGUUCAUAAAAGGGGAAACUGGUUAUGGGUUUAUGGAAACAAAAUGGGCAAAGUGUAACUUCCUAAAUGCUUCCUCUGGACAAAAUAUGACUAAGGCCUAAAAUAAGACAGUAGGGAAAGGCAUCAACAAGAGAUGAGAGCUUCAAAUGUUUUUGGCAGUAAAAUAUAUAGAACUUGGUAAACUGUUAAAUAUUUUGUGUUAGAGGAAAUAGUUAAUGUUCUCAAUUUGCUUAUGCAGACGAUAAUAUUGCCAUUUAGUUGAAUGUUGAAUAAAGUAGGAGGUGCAUAGUGGGGAAAUACUGAACUCAAGAAUGCACAUACUGAGCUUCAGAUAUCUGUGACACAGGCAGAUGGAAAUGUUUAAAGUUUAAGAUAAAUGAGUAAUUACUUUGUGGCACAGUGGGUUAAGGAUUCAGAAUUGUUACUGCUGUGAUUGGGGUCACUCCUGUGGCGUGGGAACUUCUACAUGCCAUGGGCAUGGGCAAAAAAAAAAAAAAGAGAGAUGUUCAUUAUUGCAUGAAUGAAUUUGAAGCUCUGGGAAAGAAAAUAAUCACCCAGAGAUUAUGUAGAUAUUUAUGAGUCAUAAGACAAGAAGAAAAUUCCGAGAAGCAUGUGCUUUUUUAAGUGGCAAGAGAAAGUAUAGGUUGAAAAGAUUGGACUGUGAUUUGGGGGAAAACUCAAGGAAAGCAUGGUUAACAGAAUAGAUUCAGAAAGGGAGUGGUCACCAGUGGCAAUGCUGUAGGAAAGUUACAUGAGAUUGGUAUUAAGAGCUUUACUUUUAAAUUCUAAUGAUACUUACCUUUAAUGAAGUAGUGGGAACAUCUGUCUUAUGAACUGAUUAGUAGAGGAGGAAAAUUAGACAAUAACUAUAAAUUUUGUUUUCUGGGCAGUUGAGCCGUGGGAGAAAAAGAGGAAAAAAAAGACAGGUAACUUGGAAAAGAGAAAUUCAGGAAGGAGUAAAUUAAAUGUGUACAUUUCUGGAUGUGUGUUUUAAGGCUAGAGAAAUUGUUUAUAGAAAUCCAAUCCAUGGAGUUCCCAUCGUGGCACAGUGGUUAACGAAUCCGACUAGGAACCAUGAGGUUGCGGGUUCGAUCCCUGCCCUUGUUCAGUGGGUUAACAAUCCGGCCUUGCCUGUGAGCUGUGGUGUAGGUCGCAGACACUGCUCGGAUCCCGCGUUGCUGUGGCUCUGGCAUAGGCCAGCAGCUACAGCUCCUAUUAGACCCCUAGCCUGGGAAUCUCCAUAU